rnacentral:rRNA from 1 species
UACGUAGGGUGCAGGCGUUAAUCGGAAUUACUGGGCGUAAAGCGUGCGCAGGCGGUUUCUUAAGUCAGAUGUGAAAUCCCCGGGCUUAACCUGGGAACUGCGUUUGAAACUGGGAGACUUGGGUGUGGCAGAGGGGGGUGGAAUUCCACGUGUAGCAGUGAAAUGCGUAGAUAUGUGGAGGAACACCAAUGGCGAAGGCAGCCCCCUGGGUCAACACUGACGCUCAUGCACGAAAGCGUGGGGAGCAAACAGG